AAUUAAAUGGUUAAAUUGAGGAUGAAUAGUCUGAAGCAGAUCACCACUCCCUUUUAGAAGUAUAUGAAGUCUGUUUUUCUACAACUUGAAAUCUUUGCCUGAUUAUUUGGCUGAUACCGUUGGCUCCUCCUGGUUGGGCUUUCCUUCCUUUCCAUAGAUAAUAUUUUGAUGAAACCUAGAGCAAACAUGUAAUGCAUGUAAUCGCACAGAAUAGGAUGAGAGAGUGCUUUUGCCAGCACUGCACUUCAUGGGUGCUUUUCUCUCAGUGCUACAUUUGCUCCCUUGGACAAACAGCUGACCCUGUCUGAGGUUAAGCAUGAAUCCCUGAGGAAGAGCUAUGCACUGAACCUGGAACUCCACAACAGGAGCAACACCUCUCUGUGACUUGAGUGCAGGAAGUAACAUUGAUGGAUAGCAGAGGAGGAGAAAGCAAGAUGCUCACUGAGCCCAGCUGAUGCAUAUAGGUUCAUUUAUGUCUUGUCUAUAAACAUACGAAGUACUAGAAGAGACCCCUGGGAAGCCAGUGACACUAAUGGAAAAGUUAAGUGUGAGACUGUACAGCUGGACUUAGAUGCCUUUUAUUCAGAGUUGUUAUUAGUUUAGACAAAGCAAUCUAGAGCUGUCAGGUCUACAACCUAUGCACUCACCUCUGUAAUUUUCAUGGAACCCAUCACCUUAAUAACAGGAAUUAAAAUCUGGGUGUUUGUCUUAGAGGUGAGUCUCAAUGUACUCGGUUAACUUGUGAUUUGAAUGGAAACAAUUCGCUGUUGUCCUCUAAUAAGUUCCCUUUGUUAAUAAGUUCCACUUCGUUAACAUCUGAUCUUCUUGAAGCGGUACAAGUUGAAAUAU